rnacentral:rRNA from 1 species
UACGUAGGGUGCGAGCGUUGUCCGGAAUUACUGGGCGUAAAGAGCUCGUAGGCGGUUUGUCGCGUCUGCUGUGAAAUCCCGAGGCUCAACCUCGGGCCUGCAGUGGGUACGGGCAGACUGGAGUGCGGUAGGGGAGAAUGGAAUUCCUGGUGUAGCGGUGGAAUGCGCAGAUAUCAGGAGGAACACCGAUGGCGAAGGCAGUUCUCUGGGCCGUAACUGACGCUGAGGAGCGAAAGCGUGGGGAGCGAACAGG